UUUAAUGAGAGUUUGAUCCUGGCUCAGGAUGAACGCUGGCGGUGUGCUUUAGGUAUGCAAGUCGAACGGUCCCGACGCAAGUCGGGGCAGUGGCGGACGGGUGAGUAAUACGCAAGAAUUUACCCUCGAGUGGAAAAUAACCCCGCGAAAGCGGGGCUAAUGUUCCAUGAGGUCCCGAUUUAAUCGGGAUCAAAGGGCUUAACGGCCCGCUUGGGGAGAAGCUUGCGUCCUAUCAGCUUGUUGGCGGGGUAAUGGCCCACCAAGGCUAUGACGGGUAGCUGGACUGAGAGGUCGGUCAGCCACAGGGGCACUGAGACACGGGCUCCACACCUACGGGUGGCAGCAACCAGGAAUAUUGGGCAAUGGGCGAAAGCCUGACCCAGCGACACCGCGUGGAGGAUGACGGCCUUAGGGUUGUAAACUCCUUUUGUCCCGCCUUUCACAGCGGGAAGAAUAAGCCUCUACUAACUACGUGCCAGAAGUCUCGGUAAUGCGUAGGAGGCGAGCGUUAUCCGGAUUUAUUGGGCGUAAAGGGUGCGUAGGCGGUUUUUCAAGUCCCGGUUUAAAGGUCAUGGCUUAACCAUGAAAACGGCCGGGAUACUAAUAAACUUUGAGGAUAGUUCGGGGUAUCGGAACAGUUGGUGUAGCGGUGAAAUGCGUUGAUAUCAACUGGAACACCGAAGGCGAAGGCAGAUACCUGGAAUUCUCCUGACGCUGAGGCACGAAAGCUAGGGUAGCGAAACAGAUUAGAGACCUGUGUAGUCCUAGCCGUAAACUAUCCCCGCUAGAUUCUGGUCGCAAGGCCGGAGUCGCAGUUAACACAUUAAGCGGGGCGCCUGGGGAGUACGGCCGCAAGGCUAAAACUCAAAGGAAUUGACGGGGACCCGCACAACCAGUGGAGCGUGUGGUUCAAUUUGAGACGAAGCAAAAAACGAUGGAAACAUUGGAGGAUCCCACCUUCAAGAGCAGAAAAAACAGAAUUUCAAAUGAAAUUGGGCAUUUGGAAUUUGAAAUUAGAAAUUUGAAAUUCAAAAACAUUUAUGUUUUUGAAGGUGGGAUGAUUACACAGGUGUUGCAUGGCUGUCGUCAGCUCGUGCCGUGAGGUGUUCCCUUAAGUGGGGAAACGAGUGCAACCCCUAUUCUAUGUUAAAUAUUCAUAGAAGACUGCCCCGUUUUUUACGGGGAGGAAGGAGGGGCGGACGUCAAGUCAGCAUGACCCUUAUACCCUGGGCUACACACACCCUACAAUGGCGAAAAACAAUGGGUUGCAAACCGGUAACGGCAAGCUAAUCCCUGAAAUUUCGCCUCAGUUCAGAUUGGGGUCUGAAACCCGACCCCAUGAAGUCGGAAUUGGUAGUAAUCGCGGAUCAGCAGGCCGCGGUGAAUACGUUCUCGGGUCUUGUACACACCGCCCGUCAAGGCAGCAAAGUCGGUAGCUAUCGAACCCCGCUUAGCGGGGGAGAUAGAGAUCGGUGAUGAAGCUUAAGUCGUAACAAGGUAUCCCUAGCCGAAGCUGGGGAUGGAUCACCUCCUUU
rfam:Microgenomates (Levybacteria) bacterium GW2011_GWB1_39_7 TT56_C0014, whole genome shotgun sequence.